rnacentral:lncRNA from 1 species
GUAAAAUUAGUAGUUGACCCCCACACUAAGGGUCUCUCAAAUCCAUAAGACACUGAGCAAUCUUUCAGAGGUGUUUUGAAUUAUUUACACAAGCUUUGAUGCUAGUUUUGUUAGGCCACAAUAGAACGGUGUGGCUCACAACCUAGCCAAGACAACAUGUCUCAUUACUAGAAGCAUUACAAGAAAAGCGUCUGAUACAAUAUCGAUUAACAAAAAUCAACCUACACUAAUACAAGAUCAAUGACUACAUUAACAGCACACCAGCUCAGCAUGGUGAAUUAUGCAGCCAUGAGAAUCAUGAUCACAUAGCAACAUCAUUAGCAUCUCUACCAUUAUCCAUGUUUGCUUCAAAAUUGGUAAUCUUUAUGAAUUAGAUGUCUACUUUAUACUCGUUAAUCCUGAUGUGUUUGUUGUCUUCACCACAGAAAAUUGUUUAUCACUAAAUCAACAAUGUGACUUAAUAAGAGAGUAUGCAAAUAAC